AUCUAUUGCAACAGACUGAAAAUACUGGAGGAACUCAGCAAAUCAGACAGCAUCGAUGGAAAUGAACAAACAGUCAACAUUUGAGGUCAAGCUCCUCCUUCAAGACUGGAAUAGGAGGAGGAAGACGCCACAAUAAAGGGCUGGAGAGGAAAGAAACUCACGAGAGGCCACAGGACUCCAACACCAUCCUCUGCAACAGCAGGCGAGAGGGAGAGAGACCGUCUGUACGCAGACCAGACAUUUGCCUCCAGGAGCAGCAGGCAAGAGGGAGAGAGGGACGAGUCGCUCGCAGAUGGCUUCAUUGCAGAGGAUGUGGCUUGCAAAUGGUGGAUGGAUCUCCAAUCAAGUUGUAGUAAUCUCAGCCAAUCACACCACUACAAUGCUGGUCCUCCUGUUUUUGCCCCAUAUAAGCUCAAUUUGUCUUAGUGAUUGUUGAAUUUCACCAUUAUGGAUGUGAUUCCCACAGGAGUUAUCUUUUCUCCAGUAUAAGUUCUUAGGUGGAUAUCUGCUGAAUUCAGUUUAGUAUCUUUGAAAAGCUAUUCAAACUCAUUUUGUGGAAUGACUGAAACAGCUGAACCAGUGUAUAAUUUCAUUUAAUUGAUUUGCCAUAUUGCAUAUCCAUUGUUAGUUUUUAUAGUACCCUAUUGACAACGCUCAACCAAUCUCAUCAAUUCAUACAUCUACACGGAAAUAGACUAACUUUCCUCUUGAUUCUGCUUAUGAAACCUAAAGUGUUCUGCAAUCAAUAAUGGCUUCAGUUCUAAGUGUUCCUGCAUUACUUUUACAAUAACAGCAAAGCUCAUUGCUGCUGGUUUGGUUGAAGUAGUCAUACUUCAAAGCAAACUGUAUACAUUUAAACCCAAUGAACUCAGAAAAAUGGGACUUGCUUCUCAUUGGCUAUUUCACUUGUUUCAAAAUACUGUUCCAAUAGCUCAGUUUACAUGAACCAGUUACCCAAUGUGUAAUCAAACUCAUCAAUUUUUCUGAUGUAGCCAGCCAUUUCUGUUGUUUUUUUUUAUUGAUUAUUAUCACCUGGUACUCAUUCUUUACAAACCCAUGAAUUCUUUGUUUCUCUUACUUUCUUUUUAAAACUCAUUCAUGUCUUCCCUUCCAAAGAACACGUGCUGCUCUGUUUCGCCAUUCUUCACUGCAUUGUUUUUUAGUUUGAAUGUCUUGUUGGGCUUGAAUGGGUUAGUAGCGUCUUGGGUUCAUUUUAAAAAAACCUCGUCACCAAUGUAAACAACAGGAAUUCUGCAGAUGCUGGAAAUUCAAGCAACACACAUAAAAGUUGCUGGUGAA